GACGAACGCUGGCGGCGUGCUUAACACAUGCAAGUCGAACGGUGAAGGGAUCAGCUUGCUGGUUCUGGAUGAGUGGCGAACGGGUGAGUAACACGUGAGUAACCUGCCCCCUUCUUCUGGAUAACCGCAUGAAAGUGUGGCUAAUACGGGAUAUUCUGGGUCUGUCGCAUGAUGGGUCUGGGAAAGAUAUUGUUUCGGUGGGGGAUGGGCUCGCGGCCUAUCAGCUUGUUGGUGGGGUGAUGGCCUACCAAGGCGGUGACGGGUAGCCGGCCUGAGAGGGUGGACGGUCACACUGGGACUGAGACACGGCCCAGACUCCUACGGGAGGCAGCAGUGGGGAAGAUUGCACAAUGGGCGCAAGCCUGAUGCAGCGACGCCGCGUGAGGGAUGGAGGCCUUCGGGUUGUAAACCUCUUUCGCCAGUGAAGCAGGCCUGCUCCUUGUGGGUGGGUUGACGGUAGCUGGAUAAGAAGCGCCGGCUAACUACGUG
rnacentral:rRNA from 1 species